rnacentral:rRNA from 1 species
GCUUUCUACAGGCUUAACACAUGCAAGUCGAGGGGCAUCAGGAAGAAAGCUUGCUUUCUUUGCUGGCGACCGGCGCACGGGUGAGUAACACGUAUCCAACCUGCCCUUUACUCGGGGAUAGCCUUUCGAAAGAAAGAUUAAUACCCGAUAGCAUAAUGAUUCCGCAUGGUUUCAUUAUUAAAGGAUUCCGGUAAAGGAUGGGGAUGCGUUCCAUUAGGUUGUUGGUGAGGUAACGGCCCACCAAGCCUUCGAUGGAUAGGGGUUCUGAGAGGAAGGUCCCCCACAUUGGAACUGAGACACGGUCCAAACUCCUACGGGAGGCAGCAGUGAGGAAUAUUGGUCAAUGGGCGCUAGCCUGAACCAGCCAAGUAGCGUGAAGGAUGAAGGCUCUAUGGGUCGUAAACUUCUUUUAUAUAAGAAUAAAGUGCAGUAUGUAUACUGUUUUGUAUGUAUUAUAUGAAUAAGGAUCGGCUAACUCCGUGCCAGCAGCCGCGGUAAUACGGAGGAUCCGAGCGUUAUCCGGAUUUAUUGGGUUUAAAGGGAGCGUAGGUGGACUGGUAAGUCAGUUGUGAAAGUUUGCGGCUCAACCGUAAAAUUGCAGUUGAUACUGUCAGUCUUGAGUACAGUAGAGGUGGGCGGAAUUCGUGGUGUAGCGGUGAAAUGCUUAGAUAUCACGAAGAACUCCGAUUGCGAAGGCAGCUCACUGGACUGCAACUGACACUGAUGCUCGAAAGUGUGGGUAUCAAACAGGAUUAGAUACCCUGGUAGUCCACACAGUAAACGAUGAAUACUCGCUGUUUGCGAUAUACAGUAAGCGGCCAAGCGAAAGCAUUAAGUAUUCCACCUGGGGAGUACGCCGGCAACGGUGAAACUCAAAGGAAUUGACGGGGGCCCGCACAAGCGGAGGAACAUGUGGUUUAAUUCGAUGAUACGCGAGGAACCUUACCCGGGCUUAAAUUGCAGUGGAAUGAUGUGGAAACAUGUCAGUGAGCAAUCACCGCUGUGAAGGUGCUGCAUGGUUGUCGUCAGCUCGUGCCGUGAGGUGUCGGCUUAAGUGCCAUAACGAGCGCAACCCUUAUCUUUAGUUACUAACAGGUUAUGCUGAGGACUCUAGAGAGACUGCCGUCGUAAGAUGUGAGGAAGGUGGGGAUGACGUCAAAUCAGCACGGCCCUUACGUCCGGGGCUACACACGUGUUACAAUGGGGGGUACAGAAGGCAGCUAGCGGGUGACCGUAUGCUAAUCCCAAAAUCCUCUCUCAGUUCGGAUCGAAGUCUGCAACCCGACUUCGUGAAGCUGGAUUCGCUAGUAAUCGCGCAUCAGCCACGGCGCGGUGAAUACGUUCCCGGGCCUUGUACACACCGCCCGUCAAGCCAUGGGAGCCGGGGGUACCUGAAGUACGUAACCGCAAGGAUCGUCCUAGGGUAAAACUGGUGACUGGGGCUAA